UAAUAAAGUGGCGUUGUUUUAUGUUAAUGUACACAUUUUCUCCUUGACGUCACCAAACAAGCUAUUUCUUGUCACAGAAAUUUGCAGACGCUACGGCGAGGCAGUGCACCUCUACCAAAAGGCAAAGCUUCAGCGGAAUUCCAGCUUACCGCGGGCCUCAGUGUGCUUGUAAAUGGUGAGCUUGGAGUUGUUCGAUACAUUGGUCCAGCGGAGUUCGCAGAAGGAACCUGGUUGGGCGUAGAAAUGAGGAAGCCAGUUGGAAAGAACGA